UAAGUACUCCCUCCGUCCCAGAAUACUUGUCUUAAAUUUGUCUACUUGUAUCUAUUCAUGUUUUAGUGUUAGAUACAUCCAUAUCUAGAUAAAUUUAAGACAAGAAUUUUGGGACGGAGGGAGUACUUA
rfam:Triticum aestivum genome assembly, contig: Triticum_aestivum_CS42_TGACv1_scaffold_516027_6BS